AAAGAGAGACUGCCCCCCAAAUCCCUGAGACCCUAACUUGUGAUGUGCUUUUAUCAAAUCACACAGGUUGGUAUCUCAGGAAUUUGGUGGGCGUGUCAUGC